GCCUACGGGGGGCAGCAGUGAGGAAUAUUGGUCAAUGGGCGCGAGCCUGAACCAGCCAAGCCGCGUGAGGGAAGACGGUCCUAUGGAUUGUAAACCUCUUUUGUCGGGGAGCAAAAGACGCCACGCGUGGCGUUCCGAGAGUACCCGAAGAAAAAGCAUCGGCUAACUCUGUGCCAGCAGCCGCGGUAAUACGGAGGAUGCGAGCGUUAUCCGGAUUUAUUGGGUUUAAAGGGUGCGCAGGCGGAAGAUCAAGUCAGCGGUAAAAUUGAGAGGCUCAACCUCUUAGAGCCGUUGAAACUGGUUUU
rnacentral:rRNA from 1 species